UACGUAGGGGGCAAGCGUUGUCCGGAUUUAUUGGGCGUAAAGAGCGUGUAGGCGGUCAGGUAGGUCCGUUGUGAAAACUCGAGGCUCAACCUCGAGACGCCGAUGGAAACCAUCUGACUAGAGUCCGGAAGAGGAGAGUGGAAUUCCUGGUGUAGCGGUGAAAUUCGUAGAUAUUGGGAAGAACACCGGUGGCGAAGGCGGCGACCUGGUCCGAUACUGACGCUGAGGCGCGAAAGCGUGGGGAGCAAACAGG
rnacentral:rRNA from 1 species